AGAUCACAGGAAAACGUCAUAAUCACACAUACUUGGAAUCCAAGCAGCCAGCAAGGGGAGGUUAAAUAGAGCCAUCACGAGGCAAAAACCAAUCAACAAAUUCACCAGCCAACAAAUAAUCAACCAACUCACCAACCAACAAAUAAUCUCUGAUGGAGACAGCUGAGGUUUCAAACAGUAAUAUAUGACAACAAUAAGAAAUUCAAUCACUAUCUUAAGGGAGCACUAUGUAGUGUUUACGUGGAUUAUUUCAGAUACUUAUGACUUUCAAGUGAAAAGAGAAUCCCAAACUAUAGAAAAGGUGGUUUUCAAAGCAUAACAACGAUGAGAAUGAACAACUUAACAAUAUACAUACUGAUCCAGUGUGGAAUUAUUAAGGAAAAUACAUUGAAAUAGGCGGCAUUCUUGUCAAAGAUAUAUAUGGAUAGCUAGAUGGAUAGAUAGGUGAAAAUCAUGCUCCAUGAAAGAAGGGUUAGUUCAGCCUGCAACUCAAACAAGUACAGAUAUUCUUCCAUGGAAUGAUCAUCAUACUUGGAUUGUGAUAAAAAUGCUUUAGACAAACUUCUUAUUUCAUCCUUGGAGUAUUAAAAAUAUGUAUGUUUAAGGCUUGAAACUUAACACUGUGUUUUAAUGUUUCAGUAAGGUGAUUCUUAAAUAAAAUUGGCAUUUUUAAAAAA